rnacentral:rRNA from 1 species
AAGAAUCUUGCUUCUUUGCUGACGAGUGGCGGACGGGUGAUUAAUGUCUGGGAAACUGCCCGAUGGAGGGGGAUAACUACUGGAAACGGUACCUAAUACCGCAUAACGUCUUCGGACCAAAGAGGGGGACCUUCGGGCCUCUUGCCAUCGGAUGUGCCCAGAUGGGAUUAGCUAGUAGGUGGGGUAACGGCUCACCUAGGCGACGAUCCCUAGCUGGUCUGAGAGGAUGACCAGCCACACUGGAACUGAGACACGGUCCAGACUCCUACGGGAGGCAGCAGUGGGGAAUAUUGCACAAUGGGCGCAAGCCUGAUGCAGCCUUUUUUUUUUGUAUGAAGAAGGCCUUCGGGUUGUAAAGUACUU